rnacentral:rRNA from 1 species
UACGGAGGGUGCAAGCGUUGUCCGGAAUCACUGGGCGUAAAGGGCGCGUAGGCGGCUCGGUAAGUAGGGGUGAAAUCCUGCGGCUUAACCGCAGGGCUGCCUUCUAAACUGUCGAGCUUGAGCACGGUAGAGGCAGAUGGAAUUCCCGGUGUAGCGGUGGAAUGCGUAGAGAUCGGAAGAACAUCAGUGGCGAAGGCGGUCUGCUGGGCCGUUGCUGACGCUGAGGCGCGACAGCGUGGGAGCAAACAGG